rnacentral:tRNA from 6 species
GGGUUCGUAGCUCUAAUUGGGAGAGCGCCUGUUUUGCACACAGGAGGUUGUGAGUUCAAGCCUCACCGAAUCCA